AGCAGCCCGGGCUACAAAGGGUUAAGCCUGACCGUGAGGGAUGUCCCCAGAGUCCCACGCCUGGAUUCCUGUGCCUCCUCUGCCUCGGGGUGCGAGUCUGCGAGAGUCCGGGGCAUGGACUGAAAGACCCCAGCGUGGGCAGCGCUGAGCGCCGCGCUCUACCCCCAUCCGGAUAUUGAGUUCAAGAGGUAGCCAGGAGCGAACCAAGAAGACAUGCCCCCAUCCAUCCCGGAUUCCUGACCACCUCCUAGGAAAACCUCAAGUACCGAAAUGAAGCCCAACCUUGGUUCCCUGCAUCCCCUCAAGCCUCUAGCAGUCCUCUCCUGGAGAAGAGCCACGAGGGGGGAAGGUGGCCCUGGCUCAGCAGAGCUCUGCCCGCCUUGUGCCAGAUACUGUUGGUGGCGCCUCGAGAACCCAGGAGGCCCAGGUCUCCGGCCUGGCGGCAGGCGCAGGGCCUGCGUGGCCGAGGCUCCCGCGUGGUCAGGCCGGGCCCAGCCCCGGCGGUCGCGGGCCUGGGACCAGUAGGGUCUCCCGCGCUGCCCAGAGCGCUGCCUACAGGGUGCCGGUGGCGGCCACAACAAAGUUAAAGCCGGGAGUCGGAGUCUCCGGCGAGAAGAGCGCGGAGACGCGGCAGCCUCGGAAAGCCGCGCGCAGCCCCGCCAGCCGCCGCCAGCUGCGGAGGGAUUUCGGCUAACUUUGAAAGCCGCUCGCAUCCCUCCCGUCACAUUCGCGGCCGCGGCGGGCAGGCUCGCCCGCUCGCUCCCUUCCCCCCAGCCGCGAGGGAACGCAGGAGCGACCGGCCGGGGGCUGCCCCUCCCCUACCCCGAGCCACCGGGCUGAGCACCCUCCUCCCGCACCGAGGCCGAGGGCGACCGCCGGGAGGAGAUACCCGCUGCCCCCGUCCUUCGAAGCCGUCCCUUGCGUCCCCGCCGCGGCCGCUGGAGCGGUGCCCCCAGGUGGGGGCGGGGGCCAGUCGGGAGCGAGCAGGAAAGAGAAGUUGGCGCCUUCCCCAGGGUUCCCGCUCCUCGGAGAAGCCCGGUCCCAGAACUCGGUCUGUGUCCGGUCGUGCUGGCAGUGGCCGGGAAAUGCGCCCGCCACUCGGGUUGGGGCUGGAACGCUUCGCUCCUCUCCGCCAGGUCUGGUCUCUCGCGCGCGCUCCAAGGGCCCCUCGCCCGCCGCGGUCCGGCUGCCUCCUCCCCAAUGUCCCCAUCCGCCCUGCCGCCCCCAGUCCCUUCGACUCUGAGGGCACGGAGCCUGGGAGCCGGGCGUGGAGCAAGAGAGCUGGCACCGCGAGCUGGGCGACGGCGGCAGCCUAGCGGCCCGACCAGCUGGAGGAGAGGCGCCCGCCGGAGCAGAGGGACGCGGAGCCCGCCGUCUGCGGAGUCUCGCCUUCCAGCUCCCACGCAGCGGGCGCAGGCUGGACGGCGGCGGCGAGAGACGGACCCGGGAUCCGGUUUCCCUCCCUAAGCCCAUCUCUCGGGGAGGCACAGUUGGGGCUGGGGCUCCGGGAAGACAGAAUUCAAAGAGAAUUGUCCACGCUGGGCUAGGGGGGCUGCGGGAGCUGAUAACGGUGGGACUGCCCAGGCCAGACCCUCAGCUUUGGAAGGCAGGACUUGGCGACCCUCUUCAACCACAGGGGUUUCGGGGGAAGAUGGCUAAAUUCUUACACUGGGAGGGUAUCUGAGAUGCACCCUGGUACUUACUUCCCACCCGUCUUCCCCCAACCAUGCAGGGGGACUUGGCCCCCUUCCCCUUUCCUCCUGAGAACGAAUAAAGAGAAACUGUCAUUUUCCGUGGGAUGGAGCAAGACCCAUGGGGGAACAAGCUAGAAAGGGUUAAAAAAAACAACUACCUUGUUUAUUAGCAAUAAUAAUUUUUUUUUCAAGUGGCGCUGGGUGUCGAGGGAAAGGAAGGGCUAUGGAGCGAGUCUGGAGCAGGAGGCUGGGAAUUACGCAGUUAGGUGAGUUUAAUGACCUUUUUGACAGAGACAAAGCGGUGCCCAUACAGUAGAUAAAUAAACGGAUCUGUCACCGGGCA